rnacentral:misc_RNA from 1 species
GAUGAAGAACGUAGCGAAAUGCGAUAAGUAAUGCGAAUUGCAGAAUUCAGUGAGUCAUCGAAUCUUUGAACGCACAUUGCGCCCGCCAGCACUCUGGCGGGCAUGCCUGUUCGAGCGUCAUUUCAACCAUCAAGCCCCCAGGGGCUUGUGCUGGGGCCCUGCGGCUGCCCGCAGGCCCUGAAAACCAGUGGCGGGCUCGCUAGUCACACCGAGCGCAGUAGCACAUCUCGCUCAGGGCGUGCGGCGGGCUCCUGCCGUGAAACCCCCCACUGUAACCCCAAAGGUUGACCUCGGAUCAGGUAGGAAUACCCGCUGAACUUAAGCAUAUCAAUAAGCGGAGGA